UGUGCGUCCGAUUAGGUAGUUGGUGAGGUAACGGCUCACCAAGCCAACGAUCGGUAGCUGGUCUGAGAGGAUGAUCAGCCACACGGGCACUGAGACACGGGCCCGACUCCUACGGGAGGCAGCAGUAGGGAAUAUUGGACAAUGGGCGCAAGCCUGAUCCAGCCAUCCCGCGUGAAGGAUUAAGGCCCUCUGGGUUGUAAACUUCUUUUCUCUGGGGAAUAAAAAGUGGGGUUCUCCCUACCUUGAAGGUACCAGAGGAAUAAGCACCGGCUAACUCCGUGCCAGCAGCCGCGGUAAUACGGAGGGUGCAAGCGUUAUCCGGAUUCACUGGGUUUAAAGGGUGCGUAGGUGGCUUUGUAAGUCAGUGGUGAAAGCCCGGAGCUCAACUCCGGAACUGCCAUUGAUACUGCUUAGCU
rnacentral:rRNA from 1 species